AUUGAACGCUGGCGGCAGGCCUAACACAUGCAAGUCGAACGAGUAGCGGACGGGUGAGUAAUGUCUGGGAAACUGCCUGAUGGAGGGGGAUCAACACUGGAAAGGGUAGCUAAUCCCGCAUACCAGCAUAUGAGCCCAGAUGGGAUUAGCUUGUUGGUGGGGUAACGGCUCACCAAGGCGACGAUCCCUAGCUGGUCUGAGAGGAUGACCAGCCACACUGGAACUGAGACACGGUCCAGACUCCUACGGGAGGCAGCAGUGGGGAAUAUUGCACAAUGGGCGCAAGCCUGAUGCAGCCAUGCCGCGUGUAUGAAGAAGGCCUUCGGGUUGUAAAGUACUUUCAGUGGGGAGGCGUUACCCGCAGAAGAAGCACCGGCUAACUCCGUGCCAGCAGCCGCGGUAAUUC
rnacentral:rRNA from 1 species